UGGAACGGCGGUUUGAUAAAUUAAAAGAGCAGGUGUGUGCUGCCAAAAUCACGAAAUUUUGGCUUCGAACUAAAUUAUCUGUGUUUAAUUUAUCUUCGGCACCGAUGGUCAGCAAAUGACCAUGUCUGGAACUGUCAGGUGAAAUCAAAGUGGACCGAGAAAACACACAAAACAGAGACUGCCAACAAGACUGCGAUCAUUCCAAUUCUGAACUGCCAAAUUCUUUUUAGAAAUGAGCACCGUCGAGUCCAAAAAUACAAAUCUGGCCGAGGAACCGGCAAUGGGCCGAGUAGAAAUUGAUGCAGUUCACCCCAGAUUCCAAUCAAGGGAGGACCUCCUGUUUUUUUGCCCAAAUUGCAGAACGAAGAAACCCACCGAGGAGCAAAUGAAAAGGCACUUCCUGAAAAAGUCCUGCUUUCCUGUUCAUUCGAUCUGCACCGAAUGCGCCGGUCCUGUUUUUUACUACAAGUUCGGACCGACCGACACUCGACUGUGGCAUGAUUGUGAAAAGUGGGCAAAGUACAACAAAAAGAAAAAAGGGUGUGCAAAUGGCACCGAGAGCGAUGCAAAUUCCAUUGCUGAAUCUUUUGCCACCAACAGCACAGAUAAUGAACAAACUGAUGAUCAACAGCCAUGAAUUUAUUUAUAAAUUCCAAUAUUUUUAAUUAUUUGUGGAACAUUUUUCCCAUUUUUCAAUUAAUAUUGCUCAAAAAACUAGAAUUCCCAAAGUGAAAUAAUAUAUGCACAAAUUGAAAUUUUCCUGCUGAAAAAUAAUAUGGAAAAAUAUCAAGCAUAGUAUUAUUUGAUGAUAAAAUUUAUGCUUGUAAAAAACUAAUAUUAUGUAAAAUUAUUUAGUUAUAAAGAAUAAAAUAAAAACUAAAACUGA